rnacentral:rRNA from 1 species
UACGGGGGGAGCAAGCGUUGUUCGGAUUUACUGGGCGUAAAGGGCGCGUAGGCGGCCAGCACAAGUCAGUUGUGAAAUCUCCGGGCUUAACUCGGAAAGGUCAACUGAUACUGUGCGGCUAGAGUGCAGAAGGGGCAACUGAAAUUCUCGGUGUAGCGGUGAAAUGCGUAGAUAUCGAGAGGAACACCUGCGGCGAAGGCGGGUUGCUGGGCUGACACUGACGCUGAUGCGCGAAAGCCAGGGGAGCGAACGGG